rnacentral:rRNA from 1 species
GAUGAACGCUGGCGGCGUGCCUAAUACAUGCAAGUCGAGCGAACAGACGAGGAGCUUGCUCCUCUGACGUUAGCGGCGGACGGGUGAGUAACACGUGGAUAACCUACCUAUAAGACUGGGAUAACUUCGGGAAACCGGAGCUAAUACCGGAUAAUAUAUUGAACCGCAUGGUUCAAUAGUGAAAGACGGUUUUGCUGUCACUUCUAGAUGGAUCCGCGCCGCAUUAGCUAGUUGGUAAGGUAACGGCUUACCAAGGCAACGAUGCGUAGCCGACCUGAGAGGGUGAUCGGCCACACUGGAACUGAGACACGGUCCAGACUCCUACGGGAGGCAGCGGUAGGGAAUCUUCCGCAAUGGGCGAAAGCUUGACGGAGCAACGCCGCGUGAGUGAUGAAGGUCUUCGGAUCGUAAAACUCUGUUAUUAGGGAAGAACAAAUGUGUAAGUAACUAUGCACGUCUUGACGGUACCUAAUCAGAAAGCCACGGCUAACUACGUG